AAGGAAGUGAUUGGGGCUUUGAUGUCCGUCUAUCAAAUGACUCCCACCUAUGUAUCGAGAAUAAUAGGACGAUGGAGGGCACCGCCACUUGUGCGAAAAAUUCCCUCCAUUGUGGCUUGCGUCCAACAAUGCGGGGGUCACCUGUGAAAUCUGGGGCCGAGAACUACUAGGAUCGGCUAUUUGCAGCCAUUGGGGAAUCAUGAGGAAAAUUACCACUCACAAGGCUGGCCAGUUUGUAUUUUUUUAUUUUCUAGACAGAUGUGCCAAUUGAGUGCAAGUGCAGUCCCUAGGGAUCACCUGCGAAAUGCAUUCUGACAGACAACUGUCUUGCAUCUUUUGACCAAAAGAAUUUUUCGGAGCACCAGCAAUGAUAUUUCUGGGGCAUAUCCAGUGGAAUAUCUCGAGAGCAAGGGAAAACCGGAGAUACGGCUUCGGAUGGACAAGUUUCAGCCGCCUUUUCUCAAAACUUAUCAUUCUACUGGAGGGCAUAAUCGAUCGGAGGGGUAGUGGAGUGGGGGUUCUCGAAUUUCACGCUUGAUUCUUUCUCUCUUUGACCACUCUGAACACCAGCAAGGCGCUCCCUUGCAUGAGAGUCCUGCAUUAUGGCAGCCACCCAACCAAUCGCGGAAGAGCUUGUCGUCUCAUUUCUCGUUCAGUUUGCAGCUUCAGCAGCGGGGCGCUGUCCUUGGCUGCAUGGGACGACUAAGUUUAUGCAUUCCGUAAGGCAACCAUCGUUUAUACCCUAAGGUCAGGGUGACAAACUCGGUCAGGCAAACUUGGUCGGAAUCCUGACAUCCCUGCUGGAAUAUAUGACGCUUACGACAGUGAAUUUGAUUGUGUUGAUACAAAAACAAUUGAAUGCCGCAAUAUCCCCACAGCCCACCUUGCCUCACUUUUGAAUUUCAACUCUCAAGAGUUUCUACUUCGGUUACCUGCAUAUUUUUGCCUUUGCCGUGUGCAUGGUGUAGAAAUCACCUCUCCUCUUGGCUUCCGGAGUGUCCAUCCAACCUCUUGGGAAUAGAAAUAUAUGAAUACCACCAGUCCUGUUGCAGUCCUCUGGACAUUUUGGAUAUUAAAGCAGCCAUGAAUGCCAACAGCACUAUUGUGGGUGCCUCACGGCCACCAGUCCCACCGCAGCAUAUACCACCUCAUCACUUCCCCCACAGCCAAAUGGAGGCUUCCCACACUGGCGCCGCAAACACGGGCCAACCGCUGAGAGCCAGAGAUCAUCAUCAAGCCUCAGUGUUCCCGAUGAAUACAAACCAUGAACUUGACACCAUGGCUAGCCAAUUGAAUAAUCUCACUCUGGACCCAGCUACAUUGGGCACGAUGCGAGAAGCACUCAACCGUGCCCCGCUUUCCAAAACCAAUGAGAUUUUCCCCGCCGUCCGAACAAGUUACGAAGGAUGGAUUCUAUGCCGAGCGCGUCCAGACACCUCAGAGGUGAUAUCGACCUGGGAUGAAGUUACUCGAGAAAGGAUGCAUCUCCCUCAAAAUGAAUUGGCCACGAUGGUUUUGAAACGUAAAGGCAAAAGCGUGGCUGAUAAGUACGACCGUUUGGGGAGCGGGAAGCGGAAACAAAUUGACGCAUUGAUCCAGGACCGGAAAAAGUGCGAUGGGGAUAAUCGAUUUGAAUGGAGUUGUGCUCACAUUCAAGCCGAGAUAAAAGUUGUCAAUCGUCGCAACUUCACCACAGAAUAUGUUACGUCAUCUCUCAAGUUAAUCCUUAUGAGACAAGUACGCCCUGGUAUCGUGCUCCUUCUCA
rnacentral:sRNA from 2 species